AGCCUUGUAUUCAUUUUGUGAUGACAGAAUGCAAUUCUGUAGGGGUAGGCGUAGGCUUACCAAGGCCU
rnacentral:tRNA from 2 species